rnacentral:miRNA from 14 species
UAUGUGUGUGUGUGUGUAUACAUGUGUAUAUAUAUCUUUGUAUACACACACACACAGAUACACACACACAUACACCACA